UGGGAGCAGCAUCCUGGGGAUUAAUAACAGGUGUCAGCCCAGACUCAGGGUCUCGUGUCGAGGGAGGAUUAUUUUAUUAUAAUUAAUAUUCUUAUUUCUUAUAUUGUUAAUUACUGGCAGGAGCUCUGUGCUUUGGGGAACCUGCAGUAAUGCCUCCAUCCGUGCUCCAGAUGAUCCUGCAGACUUGGAGAGGCCUUGUCAGAGCUCAUCAGGGUUUGCAGAUGACUGGCUGCCAUACAGCAACCAGAGCUGCAUUACAUCUUACAUCUCCAAUGUGCACAAAUGCACUGAACAGAGGUGGAAAUCUCUCUGGGUAUUGUAUGAUUUUAAGAAUGAAAGCUGAACAUCUUCCUAGACCACCAAGACAAACGCCAGAAUCAGAGCUAAUGAACAACACAACCAUCUGCAGCUGCAGAGCCGGGACAUGAAGGGAAAAAGAUUUUUCAGCACUUCUGCUUCCAAAAUGAACUUUCUUCCUUGAGCUGAGCAAAACAGCACUCAAAGAAAGGCUGGCAAAAAGGAUAUCGAUCCCUCAAGUUUCCAGCAGCACCACUCCAGGGAUUUUGGAGGAGGUUGAUGGUAUUUAGUUAUUUACAGGACUGAGUCCAAACAAACUGGAAAGCUCCAACUCUGGGAAGCUAACUGAUAAUGUUGUGGUAACCAGCAGAAUGCCUCAAUUAAUUCCUCAAUUAAAUCCUCAAUUAACUUAUCAGAUACAGGACAGGCUGAGCUGGACAAGGCAGUUGAUGCCUCAGCAGAAUCCUUUGCCAGGCUGGAAGGAAUGUGGAAAUCAUUCAGGAUUAAAAUUCCUCUGGCCCAUCCAGUUGCCCCUGUGCAAGCACAGCAGGACUGCAGCCCCAGGGUGAUGGCAGGGACAAAAGGUUCCCUGAUCUGCCCUCAUGGCACAUCCCCUCCUCGCUGCUGGACUCUUGAGGACAUGCUCAGCCUUAUGCUAGAGAGAUCAAGAGGGAGAGAACAAAUAAAACUGGCAAGUGCUUCCCA
rnacentral:lncRNA from 1 species